AACCUAGCACACCUGCGGUGUGUACCUGCGGAGGGAUCAUUACCUAGAGUAUUGUAGGCUUUGUCCUGCUGUCUCUUACCCAUGUUUUUUGAGUACUUACGUUUCCUCGGCGGGUUCGCCCGCCGGCUGGACUAUUUAAACCCAUUGCAGUUGCAAUCAGCGUCUGAAAAACUUUAAUAGUUACAACUUUCAACAACGGAUCU
rnacentral:misc_RNA from 1 species